GACGAACGCUGGCGGCGUGCCUAACACAUGCAAGUCGAACGAGGUCCAACCAGUGGCAACACUGGGGAAGACCUAGUGGCGAACGGGUGAGUAACACGUGAGGAACCUGCCCCGGAGACCGGGAUAACCCUCCGAAAGGAGAGCUAAUACCGGAUACCUCCGCCGAGCCGCAUGACUCGGCGAAGAAAUGGAUUCCGCUCCGGGAGGGCCUCGCAGCCUAUCAGCUUGUUGGUGGGGUAACGGCCCACCAAGGCGUCGACGGGUAGCUGGUCUGAGAGGACGAUCAGCCACACUGGGACUGAGACACGGCCCAGACUCCUACGGGAGGCAGCAGUGGGGAAUCUUGCGCAAUGGGCGAAAGCCUGACGCAGCAACGCCGCGUGCGGGAUGAAGGCCCUCGGGUUGUAAACCGCUUUCAGCAGGGACGAAACUGACGGUACCUGCAGAAGAAGCCCCGGCCAACUACGUGCCAGCAGCCGCGGUAACACGUAGGGGGCAAGCGUUGUCCGGAUUUAGUU
rnacentral:rRNA from 1 species